AGCGAACGCUGGCGGCAGGCUUAACACAUGCAAGUCGAGCGGGCGUAGCAAUACGUCAGCGGCAGACGGGUGAGUAACGCGUGGGAACAUACCUUUUGGUUCGGAACAACACAGGGAAACUUGUGCUAAUACCGGAUAAGCCCUUACGGGGAAAGAUUUAUCGCCGAAAGAUUGGCCCGCGUCUGAUUAGCUAGUUGGUGAGGUAAUGGCUCACCAAGGCGACGAUCAGAGCUGGUCUGAGAGGAUGAUCAGCCACAUUGGGACUGAGACACGGCCCAAACUCCUACGGGAGGCAGCAGUGGGGAAUUUUGGACAAUGGACGCAAGUCUGAUCCAGCCA
rnacentral:rRNA from 1 species